GGAAUUACUGGGCGUAAAGCGUGCGCAGGCGGUUUUGUAAGACAGUGGUGAAAUCCCCGGGCUCAACCUGGGAACUGCCAUUGUGACUGCAAGGCUAGAGUGCGGCAGAGGGGGAUGGAAUUCCGCGUGUAGCAGUGAAAUGCGUAGAUAUGCGGAGGAACACCGAUGGCGAAGGCAAUCCCCUGGGCCUGCACUGACGCUCAUGCACGAAAGCGUGGGGAGCAAACAGGAUUAGAUACCCUGGUAGUCAAGGGCG
rnacentral:rRNA from 1 species